GGUUAAGCGACUAAGCGUACACGGUGGAUGCCCUGGCAGUCAGAGGCGAUGAAGGACGUGCUAAUCUGCGAUAAGCGUCGGUAAGGUGAUAUGAACCGUUAUAACCGGCGAUUUCCGAAUGGGGAAACCCAGUGUGAUUCGUCACACUAUCAUUAACUGAAUCCAUAGGUUAAUGAGGCGAACCGGGGGAACUGAAACAUCUAAGUACCCCGAGGAAAAGAAAUCAACCGAGAUUCCCCCAGUAGCGGCGAGCGAACGGGGAGCAGCCCAGAGCCUGAAUCAGUGUGUGUGUUAGUGGAAGCGUCUGGAAAGGCGCGCGAUACAGGGUGACAGCCCCGUACACAAAAAUGCACAUACUGUGAGCUCGAUGAGUAGGGCGGGACACGUGGUAUCCUGUCUGAAUAUGGGGGACCAUCCUCCAAGGCUAAAUACUCCUGACUGACCGAUAGUGAACCAGUACCGUGAGGGAAAGGCGAAAAGAACCCCGGCGAGGGGAGUGAAAAAGAACCUGAAACCGUGUACGUACAAGCAGUGGGAGCACAGAGCAAUCUGUGUGACUGCGUACCUUUUGUAUAAUGGGUCAGCGACUUAUAUUCUGUAGCAAGGUUAACCGAAUAGGGGAGCCGAAGGGAAACCGAGUCUUAACUGGGCGUUAAGUUGCAGGGUAUAGACCCGAAACCCGGUGAUCUAGCCAUGGGCAGGUUGAAGGUUGGGUAACACUAACUGGAGGACCGAACCGACUAAUGUUGAAAAAUUAGCGGAUGACUUGUGGCUGGGGGUGAAAGGCCAAUCAAACCGGGAGAUAGCUGGUUCUCCCCGAAAGCUAUUUAGGUAGCGCCUCGUGAAUUCAUCUCCGGGGGUAGAGCACUGUUUCGGCAAGGGGGUCAUCCCGACUUACCAACCCGAUGCAAACUGCGAAUACCGGAGAAUGUUAUCACGGGAGACACACGGCGGGUGCUAACGUCCGUCGUGAAGAGGGAAACAACCCAGACCGCCAGCUAAGGUCCCAAAGUCAUGGUUAAGUGGGAAACGAUGUGGGAAGGCCCAGACAGCCAGGAUGUUGGCUUAGAAGCAGCCAUCAUUUAAAGAAAGCGUAAUAGCUCACUGGUCGAGUCGGCCUGCGCGGAAGAUGUAACGGGGCUAAACCAUGCACCGAAGCUGCGGCAGCGACACUGUGUGUUGUUGGGUAGGGGAGCGUUCUGUAAGCCUGUGAAGGUGUACUGUGAGGUAUGCUGGAGGUAUCAGAAGUGCGAAUGCUGACAUAAGUAACGAUAAAGCGGGUGAAAAGCCCGCUCGCCGGAAGACCAAGGGUUCCUGUCCAACGUUAAUCGGGGCAGGGUGAGUCGACCCCUAAGGCGAGGCCGAAAGGCGUAGUCGAUGGGAAACAGGUUAAUAUUCCUGUACUUGGUGUUACUGCGAAGGGGGGACGGAGAAGGCUAUGUUGGCCGGGCGACGGUUGUCCCGGUUUAAGCGUGUAGGCUGGUUUUCCAGGCAAAUCCGGAAAAUCAAGGCUGAGGCGUGAUGACGAGGCACUACGGUGCUGAAGCAACAAAUGCCCUGCUUCCAGGAAAAGCCUCUAAGCAUCAGGUAACAUCAAAUCGUACCCCAAACCGACACAGGUGGUCAGGUAGAGAAUACCAAGGCGCUUGAGAGAACUCGGGUGAAGGAACUAGGCAAAAUGGUGCCGUAACUUCGGGAGAAGGCACGCUGAUAUGUAGGUGAAGCGACUUGCUCGUGGAGCUGAAAUCAGUCGAAGAUACCAGCUGGCUGCAACUGUUUAUUAAAAACACAGCACUGUGCAAACACGAAAGUGGACGUAUACGGUGUGACGCCUGCCCGGUGCCGGAAGGUUAAUUGAUGGGGUUAGCGCAAGCGAAGCUCUUGAUCGAAGCCCCGGUAAACGGCGGCCGUAACUAUAACGGUCCUAAGGUAGCGAAAUUCCUUGUCGGGUAAGUUCCGACCUGCACGAAUGGCGUAAUGAUGGCCAGGCUGUCUCCACCCGAGACUCAGUGAAAUUGAACUCGCUGUGAAGAUGCAGUGUACCCGCGGCAAGACGGAAAGACCCCGUGAACCUUUACUAUAGCUUGACACUGAACAUUGAGCCUUGAUGUGUAGGAUAGGUGGGAGGCUUUGAAGUGUGGACGCCAGUCUGCAUGGAGCCGACCUUGAAAUACCACCCUUUAAUGUUUGAUGUUCUAACGUGGACCCGUGAUCCGGGUUGCGGACAGUGUCUGGUGGGUAGUUUGACUGGGGCGGUCUCCUCCUAAAGAGUAACGGAGGAGCACGAAGGUUGGCUAAUCCUGGUCGGACAUCAGGAGGUUAGUGCAAUGGCAUAAGCCAGCUUGACUGCGAGCGUGACGGCGCGAGCAGGUGCGAAAGCAGGUCAUAGUGAUCCGGUGGUUCUGAAUGGAAGGGCCAUCGCUCAACGGAUAAAAGGUACUCCGGGGAUAACAGGCUGAUACCGCCCAAGAGUUCAUAUCGACGGCGGUGUUUGGCACCUCGAUGUCGGCUCAUCACAUCCUGGGGCUGAAGUAGGUCCCAAGGGUAUGGCUGUUCGCCAUUUAAAGUGGUACGCGAGCUGGGUUUAGAACGUCGUGAGACAGUUCGGUCCCUAUUCUGCCGUGGGCGCUGGAGAAUUGAGGGGGCUGCUCCUAGUACGAGAGGACCGGAGUGGACGCAUCACUGGUGUUCGGGUUGUCAUGCCAAUGGCACUGCCCGGUAGCUAAAUGCGGAAGAGAUAAGUGCUGAAAGCAUCUAAGCACGAAACUUGCCCCGAGAUGAGUUCUCCCUGACCCUUUAAGGGUCCUGAAGGAACGUUGAAGACGACGACGUUGAUAGGCCGGGUGUGUAAGCGCAGCGAUGCGUUGAGCUAACCGGUACUAAUGAACCGUGAGGCUUAACCUU
rnacentral:rRNA from 1 species